rnacentral:lncRNA from 1 species
UCGCUUCUUUUCUCAAUGAUUUUACCGCCAACCUAAUUGCUUCUCCAUCUUUAUACUUGGUAAAGGUCUUUCCCAUCUUCAAAAUGCUGCCACUGAGUAUCUCGGCCUCUGUUUUAAUCCCAUAAUGGUCCAUUAAGUUCCCCAGCUUGAAAUCGUAAUCAUCCUUGAAAGAAGAAGCUUCAUCGAGGUAAUCACUAAAGCCGUCGACUUCCAUAUCAGGGUCGUAAGACCGCCUUGCCGCCUCCUUUGUGAAUUUCUUUAUACUGUCUGACUGGGGUGUACUCUCUUUGAUCGCUCUGUAGAGUCUUCCUAUAACACCCUUUGAUUCAUAGGUAACUUUGUCGAGUUUCUCCAUGAAAUCAGGAUACUCCUUCACGUGGAGGUGUUGCGGGAUUUCGGCUGGCACUCCUGUUUUAGGGAAGUCGACGGCAAUAGAAAAGAGCUUCGCGAGCUCUACACAGGCCUGACUUAAAGCUUUAAGUGGCUCCUUAUCAGCACAGACUGUGUGGGCAUUAGCGAUGAUCCCUAAACUGUCAUUGACAAUAUAGUUUGUGAAGUAUUCCAUCACUUCCUGCAUGCCGCCACCACAGAUAGACAGUUAAUAUUGCCCACAAAAGAUCAACUACACACACACACACACACAUAGAGAUAUUGAGUUUUCUGCAGUAUAUACUCCUGAAAGAACACGAAAUUGCACAAAUACCCUUGCAAAGUACGUAUUUGUAUACAUAUACUGAAAAGCUCGCUUAUUUUGUUGUGUGUCCCACUUGGGGUAUCUAUGCAAAAAGCAUUUUUGCAUAGAAACCCCUGGAGGAGGAUGAAUGCAAAUAAAUAAAGUUUUAACGGGCACACUCAAAAAUACCAACUUUCUAUGAGUAUUGCAUAUCUUCGCCUAUUUGCAGGGGUUACAUGCAAACAAGACCCAAAACUGUUGCAGCUCCUUUGACGAGACCUUUAUACAUCUAAACUCUCUUGCAAAUUUCCAUUUGAAAGAGUUUCUGCAGGUAUAUUAGCAUAUAAACCAAAUUGUUUUAUAAAGAGUACAUGUAUAUGCAGUUACUGCUCAUAAAAUAGCAGAUUAGUCAUUGAGUAAUUUGAAAGGAUGAAUCACACUUUUAAUUUGUUACAGUAUUACCUCAAUAGAAACAUCGUGAUCUAGGGUCUCUGUUGGUGCCUGAGUAUAAUCCAUAGGAGAAACCAUACAAGGAGGAAUAAGUGUUGGGUCCCAACAGACAAAGUAUAUGUCUCCAUCUAAGUCACUUCCCGAACACUCGUUAGGAUGGGGUCUGAAUAAUGACAAACAAAUUAGAAAUUAAAUGGUAGAACAUAUACAGUACGUAUGCGCAAAUGCCAAAAGAACGGGAAGCAAGUGAUAUGCUGAUGAAAGAAGUUUGUAAACAAAAAGGCAUUACUCAAUGAUAUGGUAAAGAAAGCAUUCCUACACGAAGUGCCCAGAAUGCCUUACAACUAAUAACUACAAAAGAAUGCAUGUUUUCGCAGUCAAAAGCCUAACUUAGUGCUGCAAAUACAAGACAGUCAUUUGUAGUUCAAGAAGACUAAAGAAGUUGUAGUACAUGGAAAGACACAAUUAAAUACAUUAAGAAGACACAUUUGAAAGGAUUACGAUCUAAUCAGUAAAAUUGAUUAAGAUUCAAAGCAAACAAACAAUAAUAAGGGGGAAAAAAAGGCACUUCACCUCUUCCCUUUCUGCGGAAAGACAACACAAUCGACCAUAUGGCGCAGAGCAGGAACAUCAACAGCCAUUAAAACACGAACAUCACCAGGGUGGAGGCAAGGGUUCUUAGCAACCACUACUUUACCCUUCACCACAACCGUGUGAUCAUCUGAUUCGCUCUCAGCGAACAUAUACAAGCCAUUAUUUUGAAACUGUGAGCUCCCAGUACAUGAGAUCUGAACAAAGACCUGCCCGUAUUCUAAUUUGCGGGUUUCAUCCAAGCAACCCAUCAUCGCCCUCCCUUUUGGAACAAAUAUCCUCAACUUAGUUCUCAGUUCCAACAGCCUCGUUGCCCUAAAUGCCUGCAACAGCAUCGAAAGGAAAGGCUCGCGAUUGGGUUUAUACCCACAUAGCAACAGUUCUUUGAGAACAUUGGUUGUUUCACCAGGAGACAUAAGCUCAACCGCUUCAUAAGCCAUUUCAGGAUCAGUCAAAAUUUUAUCCAGCUGAUUCACAGCUGCUUCUUGCUUCACUUCAAAUAUACUAUCCCUGAUUCCCAAGGUAGAAAGAAGAGUAAUUAACUGUCGAUUUAGGAAGCACGGCUGGUACUUGGUAUAGGCAAGGACAUCCAGUUUUGUAUUUGUGGACUCAUACUUAGACAUACUUUUUCGUAGAGAAAGCUUCUUAGAAGAAGUUGGAUCGACGGCCACAACACCUUUAUAGCCUCCAUACCUUAUUUGGAAGGCCGAAGGAGUUGAACUCUUCAAGCCAUAUUUUGCAGCAACUCUUCUUGCAAAAUCAGCAGAAAUCUUUCCAAUUCCAUCAGAGAAGCAACAACUUGUCCCGUUAUACACAUCAUCAAUGAUAUCUACUUCAUGCCUGCCAACACUUAAAGUUUCCGUGGAGGAACUGAAAGAUUGGCCGAGCCUAGCAGCAUACUUAGCCACAUUUCUGAUACUUCGGAAGUCGCCCAUCCACUGUCUAAUGUCACUUGCAGUCAUCUCAAUUCCUGAAGCGAACAUCCACGCCGAAUUGUCCCGCAACUGGCUAGAUGAGAAGGCGAGAAAUUCGAACUUCUUAUUGCCAAUGGCAAUACCAUUUCUCAGGACCGACAAUAUUCUUUUAUAAAGUGCUGUAUGUCUUGCACCAUUUGAAGAACCAGACCGUGGCGACAAAUCGGUUGAGCGCAUUUUCUCGCAAUCCUCAUCAACAAAAGAAACCCGAAGAAAAUUAUUCAUUUCAUCCGAAAAAUGCCGUAGCACACGAUUGGAGACGUUAACUUCAGGCCCGCAAAAGUACACUUUAGAAGGGGUAACUUGAACCCUAUGGACAUAAACUAAACCAUCAUCCAAAGAUAUUCUAGGCGAUUUUGGAGGGCAGUCUGAUUGUUUAUACUUUAAAUACUGCUUAGACAGCCAGAUAGCCGGAUCCAAGCAGGUCUUUUUGAAACAAGACAUCUUUUCUAUGGCAUGUACUAUAUAAUCAACAGGCACAAGAUAAGGGCUGACCAAUCUAAAGAACUCGUCAUCAAGUGUUGGACCACUGAUCGUCCCGUUCUGGACCAUUUGAUUGAUCUUGAAGAGUAUGUUAUAAGGCACUUGAAUCAAUGGGUGAGGCUCCACAAUAGGGACUAGCUCCACAUUGCAAGAGUAGGAAGAUCCUCUGUUCAGUUCAUAAUGGCCGUUAAACUCUUCAUAAAAGACAAAGUAUUCACGGAUAUUUGGAAGUUCGUAGUCGUAGGGCAGCUGCAAACAUAUUACAGAUGACUGUCCCAUGCUGCAUGAGGGCGAAAAAUCCGUUGAUCUAAUCCACUUAUCAUCUGGAGUUUCCUUAAAAUAAUUUAGAAGAGGAUCUUCUUGUACAAGACUGGAACUACGAAGCGGCAACUCAUAAAUCUUAGGUGCAGCUGCCAUCUGAAGUAUCAAAACCAGAGCUGAAAAUCAGUUUCUGUCAAGCAAGGAUUAAAAUUUUAAAAAAAGGGCCACCUGAUUGCUGUAAAUGGUUUCAGUAAUGUGCAAGAUUAGAAUGACAAUUUCAAAGAAGAUUGAUACCAUUUUAUUUGUAACUGGUACUUGGCCCAUUUAUAGGAAAUAGAGAAAAACACACAUCAUACAAGUAAAGUUCUGUUAGCAGAAUAGAUUAAAAUCUGUAUCAAGGUCUUCCCCUCCAGCGAAUGCAAAAUGUUCAGGCAAGCGGUUCAAAAAUCUACUAUUCUGUUGACUGACUUAGUAAGUAGACAAAUGGAAUGAUGUAUCAGCAUUUGAAGGAUGAUGUAUAAUUAUUGUAAAUUGAAUGAAACAAAAAAAAAGAAGAGGAACCAAUUGUCAUAUUUUGGCACUAAAGUAUCUAAAAGCCAAGUAAUUAAAGAAAAAAAAUAUGACUUCAACACAGAAAAUACUUGAGAAAGACGGACCUGAAACAAAAGGAAUUGUGAACCUUGAUCAGACGAGCGGUGUAGCUGGAUCUCCCAUAUGCUUUCAUAAGAAAGCUCGAGCUUGUAUUCAAAACUUCCCUUGGAGAGAAAAAAGUAUAUCUUCCUCAAAUUAAAACCAAAGUUAACGUGAACGUCGGAAGCACUCCAGAGAACACAAAAGCUUCUUUUCGAAACCGGGCAGCCAAAAUGAAGGGUUGCACGUUCUACAACAAAUAGAGAAGAUCUAGGCUUCGGCACAAUGUCGCGUUCCAUAUAUCGAGCCUUAAGAUAAUAUCCCUGACACCUCAAGAGGCUAUUGUCAGCCAAGUAAAUUAUUUGUUUGGCUUGCCCUUCUGUUAAGAACUGAACCACAGCAUAAGAUCUCGACUUUCCAGUGGUUACUUUUGGUUGUCUAAGCUUGAGCGCAUAGACGGAUCCAUCGCUUAUAAAUCCUUCCAAAAUGUUCUUCGCAUAAUCAGCGCUAGCAUGUAGCGGGAAACCAUGAAUAUUAACCGUCUUGCCUCCCAUCACUUCAGUUGCUGAAGGACCAGAUAAAAACUCAGUUAGCAUUUCUUAAUUCGACUAUGGCUAACAAUCUUUGUGAAAAAGAAGUAUACGUUUGGCAAACACAAUUAGCAACAUGUUGAAUCUGGAUAUCUCCCUUAAAAUAGAAAAAAAAAACUUUUUAUGGGGACAAAAGCUUUCUUUUAGCAUCAAAUACAUUAUGUUUAUUUUAAAACUUUUCUCCAAACAGAGAGUAAACAAGCUAAGAAUGAUCACAGUAAAAAAAAAAAUAGCACCGAGAGCAACAAAAUUCCUCAAGAUUAUCUCCAGCUAUAAGAUUUCUAAGGCACAGCAUUUUUUACAACAAAUAUCAAAUUGUUUGACAAAGACAUUAUAUAUCUAAUCUGAAUCAAGAAGAAACAAGAGAUUUCUCCAGUUAAAUCGCAAAUAAAACGAGAUGACUAUAAUUAGUAGCACUCCCGAUUAUUAUAAAGAAUCAAACCCGAGAGCCCCGUUUCAUAUCAAGCAUCAUCAAGCCCAACUGGGGAAGAAAAUUACCAUAAAUGGCAAAAAAAAAAUCGACUAAUUUGCGAGCUCCACUGUAAGAAAGAUCAAAACAAUAUCUAUGAGAGAGACAGUGGUUUCCCACGAAGAGAAAAGAAACCCCCACUAAAAAUCGCACCUUCGUGCUACAAUACAUAGAAACAAAGGAAGAAAACAAAGAAUUAUGAAAAUCCACUGGAAAAAAAACCUCAGAUAGAGAAGAAAAAUUACCAAAAUUAGCUAAAAAAAUGCGAUUAUUUCCGUAAAUAGGGGGAAAAAAUCGCACCUUUACGCUACUAUACGUAACAACAAAGAAAGAAACCAAUAAUUAUGAACACCCAUCGGAAAAAAAAAAAAAAUCCGAUAAGUUACGAGCUACCACACAAGAAGAUCACAACAAGAUGUCCAAGAGAGAGUGAUAUCCCGACGAAGAGAAGAGUAAAAAUCUCACCUUUAGGAUGCUCGAGGAGGGGAAAACACGCGGAGACGGGGAGCGAGAGCGACGAGAGUGGGGGAGUGAGCGAGUGAGUGAGUGCGUGCUCUUCUAACAAGUAAACGUUUUCGACGUGAGUCGCGGGACCCACCAUCAGUGGCCACGUCGCGCGUAAAGAGAUUCUGUGAAUUGGUCUAAUUAGUUACCUUCUCCACCCUCCAAAAUACUCAUUUUAUUUUUUUCUCAAAAUUUUAAUGGAUGAAAACUUUUUGAUUAUAUAUAUAUAUAUAUAUAUAUAUAUAUAGAGUUUGGCUGAGCUACUAUUGGUAGUAAACUGCUCGGUUUACUACCGAUUUAUUUUUGAUGAUAGAGCUUCCAAAUCGACGAUCAGCACCAUUGAACAUGAUUUAGACCAUUUAAAUUAUCUAGAAAUCAAAUUUCAUGAUUAUUUGGCAUCACUAACUAAACGAUUAAAAGGUCACAAAAUUUAUAAUUUUAAUGGCCGAUGUGGUGCGUUUGCUUGUUUAACGGUAUAGAAGAGUUCAAAUCAACUAAAUUUUUGUUAAAAAAAUCUUUAAACUAUUUAAAAUAAGAUCUAAACUCUAGAUCUCAAAUAUAAAAAUUGUAUUAUCACUUUUUUGAAGGAUAUUCAUUUCCAGCCAUUCAUUUUUCUGUUUACUUGAUAGACAAAAGAACAAUAUCGAAAAUGUGUGAAAUUUGAUUUUUCGAUAAUUUAAAUAGUUUAGAUCAAUUUUAACGGUGCCGAUCAUCAAUUUGGAAGCUCUAUCAUCGAAAACAAAUCGGCAGUAAACCGAGCCGUUUACUACUGAUAGUAUUCUAGCAAAACUAUAUAUAAGAGAGAGAGAGAGAGAGGGAGAGUAGGGUUACUAUACUCUUAUGAGUAUAGAGCCCUUUCGUACUCGUAAAUUGUUUUCAAUGUUAGGGUUUUCGAAUCGACGAUCCACACCGUUAAACAUGAUCUAGAGAAUUUAAAACUUCUAGAAAAUAAAUUUUGUAAUUUUUUGAAAUCAUUAUAAAGUCCAUCAAGCGGAUAUAAAAUGAACGGUCAAAAUCGAACGACAUCCUAAAAAUGGAUGAUCGGGUCCUUCAAUUUAAGAUCAGGGUUGUUGAUCUUUAUCUAAGUAGUGAAUAGAAUUUUCUAUCAAAAAUUCAAGCUAUUCCGAUUCUUUUACACCUUUAAACUAGCAACUAUCACAUACCGGCCAUUAAAAGUUGCCAAUUUUAUGAGCUUUUGAUCGUAAGGUAAAUGAUGUCGAAAUAUUAUAAAAUUUAAUUUCUAGAAGCCUUAAAUGCUGUAGAUAACGUUUAACGGUGUAGAUCGUCGAUUCGGAAACUUUAUCAUUGAAAACAACUUAUGAGUACGAGGGCGAUCGUACUCAUAAGAGUAUAGUAGCUCUACUCUCUCUCUCUCUCUCUCUCUCUCUCUAUCUAUAUAUAUAUAUAUAUAUAUAUAUAUAUAUAUAUAUAUAGAGUUUCAUCUCUUCUUUGUGCACCUUAAGAAACUGAGAGACAUUUUGUGUGACCAUUUGUUGGAGAAAAAGGAUCUCUCGAUCUCAACAUGAGAUUGAUGAUGAUGGGUUCUAAGCGAUGCGCCGUUCUUUUUCUUAUGAUCAUCUUAGCAUCUCUACUCUCCACUUCAUUCGCAGGUCAAUUAAUUUGUAUUUCAUGCAUAUUUCUUUUUUUGAUGCAUUUGUUGUCAUCUAUAGAAACUAAGGCCAUGCAUGCAUCUCUCAUGAAAGAUGAUUCAUAUUAUUUAUUCUUCUAAUCAUACUUUGUUUGUAAUUUCUUUUUCAAGAGACUAAAAGUUUAAAACUAGUUUUUGAAAUCUUUUUUAAUUUUGUUGUAGCUCUAUUGUUAGAAUACGAUCGAUAAAUAUAAGAAGCAACGGAAAAUUUUUUUGAUCUUCUAUGUAGUAGUAGUACUUUGGUGACCCAAAAAAGGAACAACAUGAACUUGUUUUUCUGAAUUAUUGUAAACCCAGUUGUUCAUUUAUUUUGUUGCAUGAAUUUUAGAGACAAUUAAAUAGCUAAAUAUGAGCAGCAUGUAAAAUCACUCUUUGUGAAAAGAGAUUUUAUUUUUAAAAAUUUUUUUACUAAUUUUUUUUUUAUGGUUUUACACAGGAGGGGAUCGGCUGUUCUUCGCGAAAUAUGGAAGAGAAGUCGAAAAGAAGGUUUGUAGUAGAAAAAAUAGGAGAUUAUUUCAUCUUUUUUUCCUCCUCUCUUUUUUUUUUUCUUUAAAUUUUUUCUGCUAUAUUUAUUGUCAGGAUAAAUGGUAAGGUUCCACUUUUACAUGUGAAUAAACCCUACUAUAUAACAUCUAAGAAGAGAAUGUAUCACUUAUAAGAAAAUAAAACUUUUAAGUCACAUAUAAGAUCUUAUAUUUCUAUUGCCAAAUGGUUAGGGAUACAUAAUUAUAGAAGUUGCUUAGGAAGAGGCUAAGUUAAUAUUAUUUUCCAAAGUAAGUGCAAGAAUUAAUAGGUUCUUAAUUCCUACUUAGCAUGGCUUCGCGUCAACAAUUUCGCAACAUUGCAAAGCCAUUACGAACAAUUUGGCGAACAAUUUUAAUUUGCUUAAGUCGAGAGCCAUUUAAGAGAUUUUUAUUGAAAAAGUUUAGUGUUUCUUCGUACAGCUAUAUUCGAAAUGUGCUUUCUCAAAAAGUUUAUCUCCUUAACGAAAAAUAUUGUUUUUGUUACUCGGUUUUCUCCGAUUCGUAAUCAUGUUUUUUCUUUCUUUUGAUCAAUUACAGGAUUUAGCUACAAAGAAUUUGAAGCAAGAAAAAGUUGUCCACACUAGAAUUCUCCAAGCGGAAACAAAUGACUAUGGAAGCUAUGACCCUCCCCCUUCUUUCAACAAGCCUCCAUUCAAGCAAAUACCAAACUAAUAUUAAUUCCACUCCUUUUUUCCCCCUCUUUUUUUUUCUAUUAUUCUUGGUCGAUAUGUAGAAUAAAUGUCGCGUUGUAUCUAAUAUUUAUGUGCGAUUUUGUAAAUGUAUAAUAUACAAAUACUGAUUAUAUAUACUAUUAAUUAAGUGUGUAUAAGAAAUUGAAGAUAUGCAAUUAUUAUUGUUUACAUUAUUUUCCUGUUGAAUGGUGCAUUAAUUCUUUUUUGCUCUAGCUAGUUCUUUUCUUUUGUUUUUCAUGUUAAUUAAUGUAAUAGCUCAUAUCAAUAUAGAAGUGAGAACAUGCAAAUGGACUCAUGAAUCAGUUAAGCAAUAGAUAGUGUAGUAAUAAUGAGGAGAACUCGCGAAACUCCAUUUCCAUUACGAAUUUAAUAGGGUUUUUGAAGAUGUUUUAUGAAUCUAGUAGUUUUUUUUUAGAAAAAACUUCAAAUAUUAUUUCUGUGGUUUUGCACUUUUUUAUUUUAUUAGUACCAUUUGGUUUAAAGUGUAUUAAUUUAGUACCCCGUGAUUUUAUUUUUUUCUUUUUAUUAUCCCCUCCACUAUUUUUUUUUAUUAAAUUAGUAAUAGAGUUAAAACCAAAAGGUACUAAAGUGAAUAUUCGGUAAAUCUAGGUAGAGUAUCUGAAAUUUUUUGUAUAUAAUUUAACGAAAUAUUAAUAGAGGAGCUAACAAAAAUAGAAAAAUAAAACCACAGAGUAUUAAUUAAAUUAAUACACUUUAAACCAUAUGGUUAGGAAUGUCAACAGGUCGGGUUUGGGUNCCACGAGGAUUUUAAUGGACUGUUAUCAUCUGUGAGAACAAAAAAAAAAAAAAAAAAAAGCAAAUUGAAUGAGGUUGCUAUCAAGACGGUUUCGGAAAGCUUUCGUCGAAAGUAGCAAAUAUGAUUAGAAAAGGGAAUUGUCUGUAAAUAACAAUGCUGCGACCACCGUUGUCACCAAUGUUCAAAAAUAUAGAAUCAAUGACCAAGGGAUUCAGGAUGUAAUAUACGGAACAGCGAGCGUUCGUGAUGAAAUAGCACAUUUUCACAUAAGUGUCGGAUCAUCGAAUUUGUACGUACAACAAACAAACCAUGAUCGAGCACCAAUGCUCGAAUCAUUUCAUGCUCAAAAAUAGAAUGACUCCCUCUUAAUUUUGAAGUUAACUAGUUGGAUCACCACGAGAACCAUUUGGUGCUUCAUUUGCCGAUGACCGCGGAAGUUCUUUUGUACAGUGCCAAUUUGCCUUGCUUCUCUUCGUCGGAUCCUAUUGGCCAAGCCUCUCCAUCUUGGGAAACUAUUGAUAAACUGGCUAUAAUUUUCUCUGUCUCUACUUUCUUUAAGAUUGGAUAUGGCACAUUGGGCCCCUUUUGGAAUUGCAUUUGGCUAGGCGAGACCUCUCUCAAGCGUAGAUUCCCUAACCUCUUUUCUUUUGCAAUUGACCCGAAUGCACGCAUCGGUGCACGCUAUGCUGCGCAUUCAUGGUACAUCUCAACCAGGAGUGACCUAUCCAGAGAAGCAGAAGAAGAUCCCCAGAACCUACAUGAUGAACUACACUCCAUCUCAUUUUUGCUUGAAUCAAAUAAAAUCAUGUGGCGAUGGGCCUCAAGGGAGUGCUUCUCUGUUUCAUCAGCUCACACUCUCCUAAUCAACAGGGGUGUUAGGUAUGGUCACCGUAUUAUGAUCCGGAGGCAAGUCAUUCCUCUGAAUGUCAAGAUUUUCACUCGGCUCGCCAUUCAUAAUAAAAUACUUACUGCCGAUAUUUUGGCCCAAAGAGGUUGGCCAAACUCCGAAAAAUGUGUUCUUUUUGGAACUUCCGAUGAAACCUGUAAUCAUCUUUUAAUCUACUGUCCCUUUACAGUAGAUGUUCUGGCCCUCCGCCUUCGUAGGACAAACCUCACCCACGCGGGUUCACUACAUCUAACUGAUUGGUGGCGCACCGUCAGAUAUUCUUUCUUGAAGGAACUGCAGCCUGGCUGUGACUAUCUCAUCAUGGCUUUCUUUUGGUGCAUUUGGUUGGAACGAAAUAGCAGGAUUUUUCAAUGUGCCACAAAGAUUACAAGAUCAAUAGCAAUCAGAAUCAAAUCUUCCUUAGCUACUUCUCUAUCUAAAUUUUAGCUUGAGUUAUUUCAUCGAGAGUAAUUUUUUGACUUUGAAAUGAAAUACCAGAGAACUACAUAUGUAAACCUUGGAGAUGUACAUAAUUUCAUGUAGUAGUAUUAUUCUGGUAAACAGGCCUACCUACCACUUUCCAAAAGAACAGAAAAAGAAGAAAAAAACUGAAUAGGUACCUCGUGUUAGUCUGCAAGGUGCUGCAUCCGAUCUGCACAGCAAAUUCAUGGCCAGCGUAGCACAUCCCGUACUGCCUCUUCAAACCACACAUCUCAGAGGAAAAUUUAUUAGUCAAAAAUACAAGAAAAGAAAAAGAGAACUAUCAAUGAAGAUAUCAACUCUCAUAAAGAAAAAAAAAUAUUCUUGCAAAGAAGGCUCAAGGAAUAUGUUUCGAAUUAAUACAAGCUACGUGAAAAAUAUUACAAGCCAAGCAGUUUACAAUAUUAUUACAACACAACCAUAUUAACUACCUUAACUGAUUCACAAGCACACUCUAAUAAAGUUUACAAUAUUAUUACAACACAACCAUAUUAACUACUUUAACUGAUUCACAAGCACACUCUAAUAAUUAUUACAUAUGUACACAAUGUGUACACAUAGAUCACCAAAAUGACUUCAAUUCUCUCAAACGAUUCUCAACCCUUGCUCCAUCCAUGAUGACAAUUCAGCUUGCCUCUUCCUCAUCACUAUCUUCUUUUGUUUGAUGAUCACCAGCUUAUCGUAGACGCUCCAAGGAAAGCUAAGGAAAUGGGGCCUGUCCAAACCUUCAUUGUAGCGACCCCAAUAGUCCGGGUGAUAAGUAACAUAAUACCAGGCUGAUGCUUUCGCAUAUAAGUCAUCUUCGCUCUGGUCGUCAUCACCACUCAUAUCUUUAAACCAUGACCUCGCUUCUUUCCUCAACGAUUUUACCGCCAACCUAAUUGCUUCUCCAUCAUUUUUCUUGGUAAAGGUCUUUCCCAUCUUCAAAAUGCUGCCACUGAGUAUCUCGGCCUCUGUUUUAAUCUCAUAAUGUUCCAUUAAGUUCCCCAGCUUGAAAUCGUACUCAUCCUUGAAAGAAGAAGCUUCGUUGAGGUAAUCACUAAAGCCGUCGACUUCCAUAUCCGGAUCGUAAGACUGCCUUGCCACCUCCUUUGUGAACUUCUUUAUACUGUCUGGCUGGGGUGUACUGUUUUUGAUUGCCCUGUAGAGUUUUCCUAUAACACCCUCUGAUUCGUAGGUAACUUUGUUGAGUUUCUCCAUGAAAUCAGGAUACUCCUUCACAUGGAGGUGAGGGGGAAUUUCGGCGGGCACUCCUGUUUUAGGGAAGUCGACGGCAAUAGAAAACAGCUUUGCGAGCUCUACACAGGCUUUACUUGAAGCUUUAAGUGGCUCCUUAUCAGCAAAGACUGUGUGGGCAUUUGCGAUGAUUCCUAAACUGUCGUUGACAAUAUAGUUUGUGAAGUACUCCAUCACUUCCUGCGUACCGCCACCACAUAUGAUAGACAGUUAAUAUCUCCCACAAAGGAUCAACUGUCUAUAUAUUUGUACACUACAUAGAGAUAUUGUGUUUUCUGCAGUAUAUACUCCAGAAAGCACAUGAAAUUGCACAAAUACCCUUGCAAAGUAGGUAUUUGUGUACAUAUACUGAAAAGCUCGCUUAUUUUUGCAUGUCCCUAGAGGGGUAUCUAGUAUCUACACACAAAUAUUUUGCAUAUACACCUCUGGAGGAGGAUGAAUGCAAAAAAAUAAAGUUUUAAAGGGCACGCUCAAAUCGCCUAUUUGCAGGGGUUACAUGCAAACAAGACCCAGAACUGCUAAGCAGCUAUUUUGAUGACACCUUUAUACAUCUAAACUCUCUUGCAAAUUUCCAUUUGAAAGAGUUUCUUCAGGUAUCUUAGCAUACAAACCGAAUUGUUUUAUAAAGAGUAAAUAUAUAUGCAGUUAUUGCUAACAAAAUAGCAGAUUAGUCGUUGAGUAAUUUGAAAGGAUGAAUCGCACUUCUAAUUUGUUAAAAUAUUACCUCAAUAGUAACAUCGUGAUCUAAGGUCUCUGUUGGUGCCGGAGUAUAAUCCAUAGGAGGAACCACCUGAGAAGGAAUUAGUGUCGGAUCCCAACAGACAAAGUAUGUGUCUCCAUCUAAGUCACUUCCCGAACACUCAUUAGGAUGGGGUCUGAAUAAUGACAAACAAAUUAGAAAUUAAAUGAUAGAAUAUAUACACUAUGUAUGCGUAAAUGCCAAAAGAACAAGAAGUCAGUGAUAUGCUGAAGAAAGAACUAUCUAGACAAAGAAGCAUUGCUCAAUGGUAUGCUAAAGAAAGCAUUCCUACACAGAAGUGCCCAAAAUGCCUAACAAUUAACAGCUACAAAAGAACGCAUGUUUUUACAGUCAAAAGCCUGACUUAGUGCUUGCUAAUACUAGACAGACAGGUGCAGUUCACCAAGGAAGAUGUUGUAGCACAGGAAAAGUCGCAACUAAAUAUGACAAGAAGACAUUUGAAAGGUUCACUGUCUAGCUAGUAAAAUUGAUUAACAUUUAAAGCAAACAAACAAUAAUAGGAAAAACAAAAAAGAAAAAGCACCUCACCUCUUUCCUUUCUGCGGAAAGACAACACAAUCGACCAUAUGGUGCAGAUCAGGAACAUCAACAGCUGUUAAAACACGAACAUCACCAGGGUGGAGGCAAGGGUUCUUAGCAACCACUACUCUUCCCUUCACCACAACCGUGUGAUCGUCCAAUUCGCCCUCAGCAAACAUAUACAAGCCAUUAUUUUGAAACUGCGAGAUCCCAGUGCAUGAGAUCUGAAUAAAGACCUGCCCGUAUUCUAAUUUGCGGGUUUCAUCCAAGCAACCCAUCAUCGCCCUCCCUUUUGGAACAAAUAUCCUCGACUUAGUUCUCAGUUCCAACAGCCUCGUUGCCCUAUAUGCCUGCAACAGCAUCGAAAGGAAAGGCUCGCGAUCGGGUUUAUACCCACAUAGCAACAGUUCUUUGAGAACAUUGGUUGUUUCACCAGGAGACAUAAGCUCAACCGCUUCAUAAGCCAUUUCAGGAUCAGUCAAAAUUUUAUCCAGCUGAUUCACUGCUGCUUCUUGCUUCAUUUCAAAUAUACUAUCGCUGAUUCCCAAGGUAGAAAGAAGAGUAAUUAACUGUCGAUUUAGAAAGCACGGCUGGUACUUGGUGUAUGCGAGGACAUCCAGUUUCGUAUUUGCGGACUCGUACUUAGACAUACUUCUUCGCAGAGAAAGCUUCUUAGAAGAAGUUGGAUCGACGGCCACAACACCUUUAUAGCCUCCAUACCUUAUUUGGAAGGCCGAAGGAAUUGAACGCUUCAAGCCACAUUUUGCAGCAACUCUUCGUGCAAAAUCAGCAGAAAUCUUUCCAAUUCCAUCAGAGAAGCAAUAACUUGUCCCGUUAUACACAUCAUCAAUGAUAUCUACUUCAUGCCUGCCAACACUUAAAGUUUCCGUGGAGGAACUGAAAGAUUGGCCAAGCCUAGCAGCAUACUUAGCCACAUUUCUGAUACUUCGGAAGUCACCCAUCCACUUUCUAAUGUCACUUGCAGUCACCUCAAUUCCUGAAGCAAACAUCCACGCCGAAUUGUCCCGCAACUGGCUUGACGAGAAGGCGAGAAAUUCGAACUUCUUAUUGCCAAUGGCAAUACCAUUUCUCAGGACUGACAAUAUUCUUUUAUAAAGUGCUGUAUGUCUUGCAUCAUUUGAAGAAACAGACCAUGGCGACAAAUCGGUUGAGUACAUUUUCUCCCAAUCCUCAUCAACAAAAGAAACCCGGAGAAAAUUAUUCAUUUCAUCCGAAAAAUACCGUAGCACACGAUUGGAGACGUUAACUUCUGGCCCGCAAAAGUACACUUUAGAAGGGGUAACUUGAACCCUAUGGACAUAAACUAACCCAUCAUCCAAAUAAAUUCUAGGCGAUUUUGGAGGGCAGUCUGAUUGUUCAUACUUUAGAUACUGCUUAGACAGCCAGUUAGCCGGAUCCAAGCAGGUCUUUUUGAAACAUGACAUCUUUUCUAUGGCGUGCACUAUAUAAUCAACAGGCACAAGAUAAGGGCAGACCAAUCUAAAGAACUCGUCAUCAAGUGUCGGACCACUGAUGAUCCCGUUCUGGACCAUUUGAUUGAUCUUGAAGAGUAUUUUAUAGGGCACAUGAAUCCAUGGGUGAGGUUCCACGAUGGGGACUAGCUCCAUAUUGCAAGAGUAGGAAUAUCCUCCGUUCAGUUCAUAAUGGCCGUUAAAUUCUUCAUAAAAGACAAAGUAUUCAUGGAUAUUUGGAAGUUCAUAGUCGUAGGGCAGCUGCAAACAUAUUACAGAUGACUGUCCCAUGCUGCAUGAGGGCGAAAAAUCCGUUGAUCUAAUCCACUGAUCAUCUGGAGUUUCCUUAAAAUAAUUUAGAAGAGGAUCUUCGUGUACGAGACCGGAACUACGAAGGGCCAAUUCAUAAAUCUUAGGUGCAGCUGCCAUCUGAAGUUUCAAAAACCAGAACUGAAAAUCAGUUUCUGUCAAGCAAGGAUAAAAGAAAAAGAAAAAAAAAAAGGGCUCUCUGAUUGCUGUAAAAAGUUUCAGUAAUGUGCAAGAUUCGAAUCACAAUUUCAAAGAAGAUUGAUACCAUUAUAUUUUAACUGGUACUUGGCCCAUUUAUAGAAAAUAGAGAAAAACACACAUCAUACAAGUAAAGUUCUGUUAGCAGAAUAGGUUAAAAUCUAUAUUAAGGUCUUCCCCUCCAGCAAAUGCAAAAUGUUCAGGCAAGCGGUUCAAAAUCUACUAUUCUGUUGACUGACUUAGUAAGUAGACAAAUGGGAUGAUGUAUCAGCAUAUGAAGGAUGAUCUAUAAUUGUUAUAAAUUGAAUGAAACAAAAAAAAAGAAGAAGAGGAAUUAAUUGUCAUAUUUUGGCACUAAAGUGUUAAAGAAAAAAGUAUGACUUCAACACAGAAAAUACUUGAGAGAGACGGACCUGAAACAAAAGGAAUUGUGAACCUUGAUCAGACGAGCGGUGUAGCUGGAUCUCCCAUAUGCUUUCAUAAGAAAGUUCGAGCUUGUAUUUGAAACUUCCCUGGGAGACAAAAAAGUAUAUCUUCCUCAAAUUAAAACCAAAGUUAACGCGAACGUCGGAAGCACUCCAGAGAACACAAAAGCUUCUUUUCAAGACCGGGCAGCCAAAAUGAAGGGUUGCAUGUUCUACAACAAACAAAGAAGCUCUAGGCUUCGGAACAAUGUCGCGUUUCAUAUAUCGAACCUUAAGAUAAUAUCCCUGACACAUCAAGAGGCUAUUGUCAGCCAAGUAAAUUAUUCGUUUGGCUUGCCCUUCUGUUAAGAACUGAACCACAGCAUAAGAUCUCGACUUUUGAGUGGUUACUGCCGGUUGUCUAAGCUUGAGCGCAUAGACGGAUCCAUCGCCUAUAAAUCCUUCCAAAAUGUCCUUCGCAUAAUCAACGCUAGCAUGUAGCGGGAAACCAUGAAUAUUAACCGUCUUGCCUCCCAUCACUUCAGUUGCUGAAGGACCAGAUAAAAACUCAGUUAGCAUUUCUUAAUUCGAUGAUCAGCUAACAAAACAAGAAUGACUCGACAGAUUCGUACUACAAUCUUCGUGAAAAAGAAGCAGAGAUUUGGCAAACACAAUUAGCAGCAUGUUGAAUCUGGAAUUCUCCUUUAAAAAAAAAUUUAUGGAGAGAAAAGCUUUCUUUUAGCAUCAAAUACAUGAUGUUUAUUCCAAAACUUUUCUCCAAACAGAGAGUAAACAAGCUAAGAAUGAUUACUAUACAUUUUUACAGAAAACUUCAAGAACAGAAACACCAGAAUUUUAGCAAAAAGAUAAAAUAACAAGGCAUUAACGUUGGAUUAAAGACCAAGCAUGCACAGUAAACCAAAUUAGUAUGAAAAAUAGCACCGAGAGCAACAAAAUUCCUCAAGAUUAUCUCUGGCCAUAAGAUUUCAAAGGAACAACAUUUUUGACAAUAAAUAUCAAAAAUUGUUUGACAAAGACAUUAUGUAACUAAUCUGAAUCAAGAAGAAACAAGAGAUUUCUCCAGUUAAAUCCUUAGUAGCACUCCCAAUUAUAAAGAAUCAACCCGAGAGCCCCGUUUCCUAUCAAGCAUCAUCAAACCCAAAUAGGGAAAGAAAAUUACCAUAAAUGGUAAAAAAAUCCACUAAUUUGCGAGCUCCACUGUAUGUUUUUUUUUUUUGGGAGAAAUAGAAAAUAAACUUAGCUGGAAAUAUGAAUCAACUAGGAUUCGAACUUGGGACCUCAGGUACCAACCACCAAGUCCUUUGCCACUUCCGAUAGGGACGGUCGGUGCGAGCUCCACUGUAAGAAAGAUCAAACAAAAUAUAUGAGAGAGAUAGUGGUUUCCCCCGAAGAGAAUAGAAACCCACACUAAAAAUCACGCCUUUAUGCUACAAUACAUAGAAACAAAGGAAGAAAACAAAGAAUUAUGAAAAUCCACCAGUAUAUAUAUAUAUAUAUAUAUAUAUAUAUAUAUAUAUAUAUAUAUAUAUAUAUAUAUAUAUAUAUAUAUAUAUAUAUAUAUGCUGUUACACUGUCGAUAGUAUAAAAUAUUUGAUGCUAUCAAGUUGUUAGAUGAAAGGAUGUGCGGUUAAUUAAGAUGUUAGUGAUCCCCUAGGCUUGAGUGAAUUGUUGAUUGAAUAGUAUAAUCUAACGAGUAAAAAUGAUCAAAGGAUAGAUCGGCAGAAAAUCCGAUAAUAGCAAGAGUUUGGUACAUAGCUCUAAAAUUUUUUAUUAGAGAUAUUGAUCUUGCAGUAAAUAGUACAAAAAAAUUUCUAUCAAAAUUUCAUCAAAUUUGAAUACUUCUACACCGUUAAACUUGCAAACGAUAUAUAUCCCCCAUUAAAACUUAUUGAUUUUGAAUUAUUUCGAUCGUUAGGUAAAUAAUAUCCAAAAAUCACAAAAUUUAUUUUCUAGAUACUUCAAAUAUGCUAAAUCAAGUCUAACGGAGCCAAUCUAAGUUCCAUCAUCGAAAACGGCUUAGAAGCACGGAGGCUUCCAUACUCCUAACAGCACACAAAUCCUACUCUCUCUCUCUCUCUCUCUAUAUAUAUAUAUAUAUAUAUAUUUUUCAGUCAACUGAUUUAAAUUAAUUCUGGAGUAAUUUUAUUUUCAGUCUAACUAUGUAUUAAAAUGGAGGGUAGAUUUGCAAGAAGCUAAAAUUUUAGAGGAUUAAAUCUUAUUACUAAAAUUUUUAGGAGUGGCAUUUAAAAAAGCCAAAGUAGUUCGUUUUCAUAAAAUUAAAAACUAUUUCUAGACUAAAAGAAAUUAACUCUAAAUAUAUAUUAGAAAGAAGUUUAAAAUUUAGAAUAAUAAGUUGUUCACUCAAUUUUGCAAGGAUAAAUAUACAAAGCGAUUAUUUUUGAAGAGUAUUUUAAAAGCACUGAGAAUAAAAAAAAAAUAAAUAAAAAGAAGUUUGAAAAGGAAACGUAUAGUGUUAUGAUAUUUAUAUGGUUAGAUUUUAAAAAUAGUCAAAGAAAUAAACAAAUCAAUUAGUUUUUAAGAGAUGGGUAAAUUAAUAAUUUUAUUAUAGAAGAUUUAUCAAGACUACAUAAGCUUAAUAAUCGUAUUAUGCAGGUCUUGGGUCAACUUGAAGUCCUCUUCAUCAUUAAGUUUUCUUUUUUUUUUUUUUUUUUAUUUCUGGUGGGCCCAGGAGAGGGGCAAGCCAGAAAAAUUUGCUUGCCUAACGAGCAAGGAUUCAAAUCUCACCGUAUAGUAGUCCACAAAAAAGAAACUGAUUAACAGUAAUAAUAAAUUACUAUUUUGUUUUAAAUAAAAUAAAAUGUUUGAAUUUUUACCUGAUAAUAACUUAUUCUUCAUAUAAGGUAAGAGUUUUACCUGAAUUUCUUGUUUAAUUAAAAGGUAAGACUUUAAUUUUUUACUUCAGGAAAGGUCUUAGCAUUCAUAAUAAUCUUAUUUUGAGAAAAACAACUUAAAAUAAGCUGAAUAUGCGAAGUCAUUUGAAAUUUUUGACCACAUGCAUAUAUAUAGCUACAAUCAUAAUAGAGAAUUUUCAUACCAAAUAAAAUAUUACUGUAUAACUCGGAACUAUGCUAGAAUACUAUUAAUAACACCAAGUCAUUGGUGUCAUUAAGUUUUCGGCCCUUGAUUAUAGCGAUGUAUGGUUAGGAUGACAGUGAUCUCCUAGAAUUGAGUGAGUGGUUGGUUGAUUGAAUAGUAUAAUUUAAUGAAUAAAAAUGAUCAAAAUAAUUGAUCAGAAAAUUUGAUCGCAUCUAGUGCUUGGUGCUAUCAAUAUUUAAUAGUACUGUCGCCGGAUUUAUACAACUUAUUAUAUCAUACAAACUUGGGGGUUAAUUUGCAUGGACAUAUCCAAAGAAAAAAAGACAGUGCAUAUGAUUAAACAAUAGAGUAGGUUCCUCUCUCUUCACAUUAAAAAGGAGAAAAAAACAAUGUUUGAGGAUAGGAAUCGCUUCUCUAAGUUCUCUAUUCCAUCACCAUGUAUGCAUCAAAGAUUCUUCGCUUCGCUGAUUGGAGGGGCUCAUCUUUUUCAGUUACGAAGGACACCAAAAGCCAAACCUUGCUCACCAAGUAAAGAGAUUUUAUUUGGCAAUUGACUUGACGAGGACCCACCGAGUCAAGGAGAAGAAGAUGCUUUCAGUUACGAAGGACAAGGGCGUGGUCGUUAAUGUGGACUCGACGAGUGCAAUACGCUUGCCACUGUACGGAACUCGAUAUUAUGCUGAGUCUCCACGAGGAUUUUAAUGGACUGUUAUCAUAUGUGAGAACAAAAAAAAAAAAAAAAAANAAAAAAAAAAAAGAUUCUUCGCUGCUCUCAUUGGAGGGGCUCAUCUUUUUCAGUUACAAAGGACACCGAAAGCCAAAUCUUGCUCACCAAGUAAAUAUAGCCAAAUCUUGCUCACCAAGUAAAUAUAUUUUAUUUGGUAAUUGACUUGAUGAGGACCCACAGAGUCAAGGAGAAGAAGAUGCUCUCAGUUGUACUAUUACUAGUAUUUUUUUCCCUGCCACUAAAUGGCUGCAACUGGAGUUGUGAGUUGAGUGUGGAUUUUGACACGCGAGCUGGGUCGGGUCGGGUCGGGUCGGCUAUGCUUGUUUUUAACAUGCAUUGAUUCGACAAGGGUAGCGAUUGUGCGGAACUCGAUUUUACGUGAGUCCUGCAGAGAUUCAGGUAAUAGGAGGAUUUUCAUGGAGUGUCACAUGAGAAAAUAGUAAAGAUAUUGAAUCAUGUUGAGUUCCACAGAUGAAAAAAAAUGAAUGACCAAGGGAUUCGGGAUGUAAUGUACAGAACAGCGAGUGCUCGCGAUGGAAUAGCACAUUUUCACAUGAGUGUCGGAUCAUCGAAUAUGUACAUACAACAAACAAACCACGAUCAAACACCAAAGCUUGAAUCAUUUCAUGCUCAAAAAUAGCAUGACCCCCUCUUAGUUUUGAAGUUCACUAGUUGGGUCGCGUGAAAACCAUUUGGUGGAGCCUAUUAGCCAAGCCUCUCCAUUUUGGGAAACUAUCGAUAAACUGGCUAUUAUUUUCUCUAUCUCUACUUUCUUUAAGAUUGGAGAUGGCACAUUGGCCCCCUUUUUUUUUGAGAAAUAGGUAGCAAGCUACCUGCUUCAUUCAUUAAGGAAAAUGAACUAGGCGUACAAGAUGGAGGCAGCUGAGGCCUCCUUAAGAGCCGAAGGCAACCAAAAAGUCACUAAAAAAGUCCAUUGUACAGAACAAACCAAGGAAAAAAAGGCACAUUGGCCCCCUUUUGGAAUUACAUUUGGUUGGGCAAGACCUCUCUCAAUUGUAGAUUCCCUAACCUCUUUUCUUUUGCAAUUGACCCGAAUGCACGCAUUGGCGCAAACUAUGCUGAGCGUUCAUAGUACAUCUCAACCAGGGGUGACCGAUCCAGAGAAGGAGAAGAAGAGCUCUAGGACUUAUAUGAUGAACUACACUCCAUCUCAUUUUCGCUUGAAUCAGAUAAAAUCAUGCGGCGAUGGGCCUCAAGGGGGUGCUUCUCUAUUUCAUCAGCUCACGGUUUUCUAAUCAACAGGGGUGUUAGGUAUGGUCAUCGUAUUGUGAUCUGGAAGCAAGCCAUUCCUCUGAAUAUCAAGAUUUUCACUUGGCUCGCCAUUCAUAAUAAAAUACUUACUGUCGAUAAUUUGGCCCAAAGAAGUUGGCUAAACUCCGGAAAAUGUGUUCUUUGUGGAAUUUCCGAUGAAACCCGUAAUCAUCUUUUAAUCUACUGUCCCUUUACAGUAGAUGUUCUGGCCCUCCGCCUUCGUAGGACAAACCUCACCCACGCAGGUUCACUACAUCUAACUGAUUGGUGGCGCACCGUCAGAUAUUCUUUCUUGAAGGAACUGCAGCCUGGCUGUGACUAUCUCAUCAUGGCUUUCUUUUGGUGCAUUUGGUUGGAGCGAAAUCGCAGGAUUUUUCAAUAUGCCUCAAAGAUUACAAGAUCAAUUGCAAUCGGAAUCAAAUCUCCAUUGGUAUCUUCCUCAGCUACUUCUCUAUCUAAAUUCUAGCUCGAGUUAUUUCAUCGAGACCUAUUUUUUGACUUUGAAAUGAAUUACCAGAGAACUACAUAUGUAAACCUUGGAAAUGUACAUAAUUUCAUGUAGUAGUAUUAUUCUGGUAAGCAGGUCUACCUACCACUUUCCAAAAGAACAGAAAAAGAAGAAAAAAAACUUACUAGGUACCUCGUGUUAGUCCGCAAGGUGCUGCUUCAGAUCUACACAGCAAAUUCAUGGCCAGCAUAUCACACCGCAAGGUGCUGCUUUAGAUCUGCACAGCAAAUUCAUGGCCAGCGUAUCAAUGAAGAUAUCAGCUCUCAUAAAGAAAAAAAAAAAAUUCUUGCAAGGAAAGCUCAAGGAAUAUGUUUCGAAUUAAUACAAGCUUGCUGUUUCGGGGAUAAUACGUGGAAAAUAUUACAAGCCAAGCAGUUUACAAUAUUAUUACAACACAACCAUGUUAACUACUUCAACUGAUUCACAAGCGCACACUAAUAAAGUUCACAAUAUUAUUGCAACACAACCAUAUUAACUACUUUAACUGAUUCACAAGCACACUCUAAUAAUUAUUUCAUAUGUACACAAUGUGUACACAUAGAUCACCAAAAUGACUUCAAUUCUCUCAAACGAUUCUCAAUCCUUGCUCCAUCCAUGAAGACAAUUCAGCUUGCCUCUUCCUCAUCUCUAUCUUAUUUUGUUUGAUGAUCACCAGCUUGUCGUAGACACUCCAAGGAAAGCUAAGGAAAUGGGGCCUGUCCAAACCUUCAUUGUAGCGACCCCAAUAGUCCGGGUGAUAAGUAACAUAAUACCAGGCUGAUGCUUUCGCAUAUAAGUCAUCUUCGCGCUGGUCGUUAUCACCACUCAUAUCUUUAAACCAUGACCUCGCUUCUUUUCUUAAUGAUUUUACCGCCAACGUAAUUGCUUCUUCAUCUUUAUACUUGGUAAAGGUCUUUCCCAUCUUCAAAAUGCUGCCACUGAGUAUCUCGGCCUCUGUUUUAAUCCCAUAAUGGUCCAUUAAGUUCCCCAGCUUGAAAUCAUAAUCAUCCUUGAAAGAAGAAGCUUCAUCGAGGUAAUCACUAAAGCCGUCGACUUCCAUAUCAGGGUCGUAAGACCGCCUUGCCGCCUCCUUUGUGAAUUUCUUUAUACUGUCUGACUGGGGUGUACUCUCUUUGAUCGCCCUGUAGAGUCUUCCUAUAACACCCGUUGAUUUGUA